GUCCAGCUGAUGAGUCCCAAAUAGGACGAAACGCGCAUCCUGGAU
rnacentral:hammerhead_ribozyme from 1 species